rnacentral:sRNA from 1 species
UAAAUACCGAAUGCCACGCCGGUACGUGCCAG